ACGAACGCUGGCGGCGUGCUUCACACAUGCAAGUCGAACGGAAAGGCCCUGCUUUUGUGGGGUGCUCGAGUGGCGAACGGGUGAGUAACACGUGAGUAACCUGCCCUUGACUUUGGGAUAACUUCAGGAAACUGGGGCUAAUACCGGCUAGGAGCUCCUGCUGCAUGGUGGGGGUUGGAAAGUUUCGGCGGUUGGGGAUGGACUUGCGGCUUAUCAGCUUGUUGGUGGGGUAGUGGCUUACCAAGGCUUUGACGGGUAGCCGGCCUGAGAGGGUGACCGGCCACAUUGGGACUGAGAUACGGCCCAGACUCCUACGGGAGGCAGCAGUGGGGAAUAUUGCACAAUGGGCGGAAGCCUGAUGCAGCAACGCCGCGUGCGGGAUGACGGCCUUCGGGUUGUAAACCGCUUUCGCCUGUGACGAAGCGUGAGUGACGGUAAUGGGUAAAGAAGCACCGGCUAACUACGUG
rnacentral:rRNA from 1 species